UAUCAUCUCCAAAAAACAAGCUAAAUUUGAGAAAGAUAAAAUGGCAUGCAUGGAGGGAUAUGCAUACAAGUGGGAUCAGCCUGCUAGAGGGCAAGGUCAAACAUUGAGACCCCAAACUAGAGGCAGGAACACCGAUGUUUCAGAAGGUGAAAGUGAAUCUUAUUCCUCUGUCUCUUCUUCUUUUUCGCAGGUACAUCGGACACAAUCCACCGGUUCAACAUACGCACAAAACGGAUCACUUCCAAAACUCCCGAAGAAGCGGCCACGUCCCGCAAGCAAUUUCUGGAACUCUUUGUAUGUAUGUCAAGAAUUGAACAGUGUGGACCCAGGCCAGACUAGUCCGUAUCAGCGACGGCGACAGCAACAAUUAUUACCUGUGGUCCUCUCAUCUGGUUUCAUAUUCUUACAACAUUUUUAAUAUUAUGUAUUUUAUAGUCUUAUUAGAUGCGCUUAGCAUCCUGUCUUGAUAUUGUACUAUUUUUUUCUCUUUAUUAAAAUAUCUUUUACUUUUUCAA